GGAAAGUCGGCGGUGGACGGGCGCCUUGCUAACCUGGUCAGGUCCGGAAGGAAGCAGCCCUAGUGAGUUUCGUCCGGGUCAUCGUUCGGCUUUCCACC
rfam:Acetobacter persici strain TMW2.1084, complete genome.